GUGUCCAAGGCAGGGUUGAUGAAAGAAUCGCCUAGGAAAGUUACGCUGAAAAUUGUCGGGAAAUGGAAGGAUUCAAGAGACAUUUGAAAGACAGAAUUGGUACUAUUGAAUGACCACUUGGACACAGGGGAUGAAAAUGAGGAAAUAUAGAAGGACUAUGACUAGAUGGGGAUGCCAUCAACACAAGAAAAGGAGGAGGAACAGAUUUGAGAAGACACUAUUCUUACUGAGUAUCACCACUCAUUUUUAUGAUACUUCUAGCAGGAUGAAUAAUCUGAUAUCAUGUGAAAUGAGGAAAUAAGAAGCUUUCUGCUGACUUCAUUUUGACCCAGGGUCCAAAAGGUGAUGUAAUCCUGUGGCAAGAAGAUUCAAAACUGUGGACUAUCUUGCAAAAAAUACAAGAAGAUAUUGAAAGUUUUCAUGAGUGCCUACCACCUAAUCUCAAACACUAUCAUUCAUAUGUGCCUCAUUGAGCAAAUCUUUAAUGAGGAUCUAUAUGCCAGCAAUAUCUUUUGCUUGGGAGCAGAAACAGAAAGUACAUGAUGGACUUCAUUGAAGGAUGGAGAUUUGGAAGACAUGAAUGGAUGAAGAACCAAGUGCGUGAGGGCACCUAUCAGGAUUAUUGCUGAAAUCCUUAUGGAGUUAACUGGCUGAGAGGAAGAGAUGGGGUUUCACCAUGUUGCCCAGGCUGGUCUCAAACUCCUGAGCUCAGGCCAUCUGCCCGCCUCGGCCUCCCAAAGUGCUAGGAUUACAGAAGGUGCCUGCUUCCCCUUCACCUUCCACCAUGAUUAGACAAGGUCUUAUUAUGUUGCCCAGGUUGGAGUGUCUAUGCAUAGGGCGCGAUCAUAGUGCACUGCAGCCUUCAACUCCUGGCCUCAAUGGAUCCUCCCGGCCUCAUCCUCCCAAGGCUAUUUAUUAUUUUGUUAUAUUGAACAGGUUUCUCUUAUUGCCUGGAUCCAAGAGCAUCUCCUGGGUUCUUCCUGUUAGAAUACUGAAUGUCCAUGGAGAGUUUAACAUAAGGAAGAAGAGGCCUGUCUCCCAGCUGAAACUGGUGCAGCAGAUCAUGCAAAGUAAAACCUCAGCAGCUGUGAUGAAGUAGAGCAGAGGGCCUGGGUGUCUGUCAGCUCCAAGCGGAAGAUUUCCCCAGCUUUCUAGAUUUCUGACUUCAUAUCUGUGGGAUCCACACAAUGGGGAGGUACUGGCCUUGGAAUCCAUGGUUCCCCAGCUAUCAUUUUACUUUAGAAUUACAGUGUUCUCUGUUAGUGUCAAGGGAAUGAACCUGACGAGAAAAGACCAAACAUAGGACUGUUACAGGGAAGAAAAAUAUGAAAAGACCUAAAGAUGCACGUCCUCAUUAUAUGUAAGGAAUCUAUUUCCUAGAAUCCUAUAAAAAGCUCAAGUGAAUUUGCUUCAGUUAAUAAAUGUGAUUUAAUUAUAAUGAUAAUGCCACA
rnacentral:lncRNA from 1 species